rnacentral:rRNA from 1 species
AGAGUUUGAUCCUGGCUCAGGACGAACGCUGGCGGCGUGCUUAACACAUGCAAGUCGAACGGAAAGGUCUCUUCGGAGAUACUCGAGUGGCGAACGGGUGAGUAACACGUGGGUGAUCUGCCCUGCACUUUGGGAUAAGCCUGGGAAACUGGGUCUAAUACCGGAUAGGACCAUGGGAUGCAUGUUCUGUGGUGGAAAGCUAUUUGCGGUGUGGGAUGGGCCCGCGGCCUAUCAGCUUGUUGGUGGGGUGAUGGCCUACCAAGGCGACGACGGGUAGCCGGCCUGAGAGGGUGUCCGGCCACACUGGGACUGAGAUACGGCCCAGACUCCUAAGGGAGGCAGCAGUGGGGAAUAUUGCACAAUGGGCGCAAGCCUGAUGCAGCGACGCCGCGUGGGGGAUGACGGCCUUCGGGUUGUAAACCUCUUUCACCAUCGGCGA